GGAGCAUCCAAAAAAAUUGCUUUAUUCCUUCAGAAAAUUAAGUACAACGUACCAUAGGCAAGAGUAAACCCUAGAAGGGAGAAGAAACAACACAUGUAGUUGUUUUUUAGGAAAGGAAGAGUUUUAGUUGAUAGAUUUAGUUGAUAUCUGAGUCAUCGAAAUCAUCCUGAAAGAGAUUGAAGAAGUCGGAGUCGGCGAGUCGGAGGUGUUCGCCACCACCGAGUGGACCUUCGCCGAACAUGUCGAUUGUGUCCACGUCAUCAACGUCCAUCGCCAUUGUUGAUCCUUGUUCUUCCAUGUCUGCUAAAUAGUCUACUACCAUCGGCUUCAUUGUUGAUUCUUCUUCUUCUUCUCUCGCUGAUGCAAUUGGAGAAUUGGGAUUGUGAAGUGGAAAAAUCAACAAUGAAGCCGAUGGUA
rnacentral:misc_RNA from 1 species